UGGGGAAUUUUCCACAAUGGGCGAAAGCCUGAUGGAGCAACGCCGCGUGUGUGAUGAAGGUCUUCGGAUCGUAAAGCACUUUCGACUGGGACGAAACACCCUUGGCUAACACUCAAGGGCUUGACGGUACCAGGAGAAGAAGCACCGGCUAACUCUGUGCCAGCAGCCGCGGUAAUACAGAGGGUGCAAGCGUUGUUCGGAAUUAUUGGGCGUAAAGCGCGUGUAGGCGGCAUGGCAAGUCGGGUGUGAAAGCCCUCAGCUUAACUGAGGAAGUGCGCCCGAAACUGCUGUGCUUGAGUGCCGGAGAGGAUGGCGGAAUUCCCCAAGUAGAGGUGAAAUUCGUAGAUAUGGGGAGGAACACCGGUGGCGUAGGCGGCCAUCUGGACGGUAACUGACGCUGAGACGCGAAAGCGUGGGUAGCAAACAGG
rnacentral:rRNA from 1 species